rnacentral:rRNA from 1 species
CCUACGGGAGGCAGCAGUGGGGAAUAUUGGACAAUGGGCGAAAGCCUGAUCCAGCCAUGCCGCGUGUGUGAAGAAGGUCUUCGGAUUGUAAAGCACUUUAAGUUGGGAGGAAGGGCUGUCGGUUAAUACCCUGCAGUUUUGACGUUACCAACAGAAUAAGCACCGGCUAACUUCGUGCCAGCAGCCGCGGUAAU